rnacentral:rRNA from 1 species
AACGAACGCUGGCGGCAUGCCUAACACAUGCAAGUCGAACGAGACCUUCGGGUCUAGUGGCGCACGGGUGCGUAACGCGUGGGAAUCUGCCCUUAGGUACGGAAUAACUCAGGGAACUUGAGCUAAUACCGUAUAAUGACUCCGGUCCAAAGAUUUAUCGCCUAAGGAGUGAGCCCGGCGUCGGAUUAGCUAGUUGGUGAGGUAAAAGCUCACCAAGGCGACGAUCCGUAGCUGGC